GGAUGUAGCUCAGUGGCAGAGUACUUUCCUAGCAUGUGCGAAGUCCUGGGUUCCAUCCCCAGCACCG
rnacentral:tRNA from 1 species